rnacentral:rRNA from 1 species
GAUAAACCUAAGAAACCCAAAAGAUCGAACGGGGAGAUUCAUCGUCAGCGUNGCUNGNUUCGCGUCGGUNGGCGAUGUCCCGCGGUUUCUCGCGCNNGCACGCUACCGUGCGCGCAUGUCCGGUGUCGUCGUCGUGCACUUUUNCCCUAGUAGAAAGUCGCUACCCGCAGAAUAUCGGUCUACGGGUNGAGGCGGUGUCUGUCGGGUCGCCGGUAAAAUGGCACGCGGCAAACCCUCGGACGCCCGGCCGGCUGCCNGGCGGCACUCGCACGGUAUNAGGCCACAGUCCAACUGNGUNAAGCCCGUCGCAAGCGCGCGCCACGGUUACUCGGAGGCACGGAUCAAGAGCCGUCCCCGGUCCUGGCCCACUGUUGGCCGACGGUGAUCCUUUGACAGGCUUUGCGAGGCGACGCGCAGGG